rnacentral:misc_RNA from 1 species
AACGGUCUAUACCUGCGGUACCUGCGGAGGGAUCAUUACCGAGUUUACAAAACUCCCAAACCCUUUGUGAACCUUACCUAUCGUUGCUUCGGCGGGAACGCCCCGGCGCCCUCGCGGCCCGGAACCAGGCGCCCGCCGGAGGCCCCAAACCCUCAUGUCUUUAGUGGUUUCCUCCUCUGAGUGACAUAAACAAAUAAAGUAAAAACUUUCAACAACGGAUCUCUAGAUCGGAAGAGCACA